GUGCAGCAGUCGAGAAUCUUUAGCAAUGCCCGAAAGGGGUGACUAUGCGACGCCGCGUGAGCGAUGAAGUCCUUCGGGACGUAAAGCUCUGCCAGGUGGGAUGAAUUUUUCGACCUUAACAGGGUUGGAAUUUGACCGUACCACCAGAGGAAGCCACGGCUAACUCCGUGCCAGCAGCCGCGGUAAUACGGAGGUGGCAAGCGGUUGUUCGGAUUUAUUGGGUGUAAAGGGCAUGUAGGUGUCCUAGUAAGUCCUGGCUGAAAUCCUUCGGCUCAACCGAAGAACGUGUCAGGAAACUGCUGGGGAUUGAGUACGGAAGAGGAGAACGGAAUUCCCGGUGUAAGGGUG
rnacentral:rRNA from 1 species